AUUUGGGACACUUUUAACUAGAGGAAAGCUCUAUGCAUUUGAAUCUUUCGAACUAUCUCGCCUUGUUGUGAAUCAGAACAAGAAAAAUCUGCUGGAGAAUUGGCUAGCAGAGGACAAAUUGGAGUGCACUGAAGAACUUGGAGAUCUCGUGAAGACUGUUGACACUGACUUUGCCUUAAAGAUAUAUAUUAAAGCUAGAGCAACACCCAAGGUUGUUGCAGCCUUUGCCGAACGCAGGGAGUUUGACAAAAUCCUCAUUUACUCUAGGCAGGUCGGUUAUACACCAGAUUACUUAUUCCUGCUCCAAACUGUUCUUCGAACAGAUCCACAGGCUGCUGCCAAUUUUGCCUUGAUGAUGUCCCAAAUGGAGGGUGGGUGUCCCGUUGAUUAUAACACAAUAACUGAUCUUUUUCUUCAGGUGUGUAUGUUUUUCUUU